rnacentral:rRNA from 1 species
ACGGAAGGCAGCAGUGGGGAAUAUUGGACAAUGGGGGAAACCCUGAUCCAGCGACGCCGCGUGAGUGAAGAAGUAUUUCGGUAUGUAAAGCUCUAUCAGCAAGGAAGAAAAUGACGGUACUUGACUAAGAAGCUCCGGCUAAAUACGUGCCAGCAGCCGCGGUAAUGCGUAUGGAGCAAGCGUUAUCCGGAUUUACUGGGUGUAAAGGGAGCGUAGACGGCAAAGCAAGUCUGAAGUGAAAUCCCGGGGCUCAACCCCGGAACUGCUUUGGAAACUGUUUAGCUAGAGUGCAGGAGAGGUAAGCGGAAUUCCUAGUGUAGCGGUGAAAUGCGUAGAUAUUAGGAGGAACACCAGUGGCGAAGGCGGCUUACUGGACUGUAACUGACGUUGAGGCUCGAAAGCGUGGGGAGCAAACAGGAUUAGAUACCCUGGUA